AAGGGGUCUUCGGACUCGUAAACUUCUGUCAUUGGAGAACAACUGCGUAAGGACAGUAACUGUUUUAACGUCUGAUAGUACCCGAAGAGGAAGAGACGGCUUAACUCUGUGCCAGCAGCCGCGGUAAUACAGAGGUCUCAAGCGUGUCCGGAUUCAUUGGGCGUAACAGGGUGCGUAGGUGGCGAAGUAAGUCGGGUGUGAAAUCUCGGGGCUUAACCCCGAAACUGCAUUCGAUACUGCUUUGCUCGAGGACUGGAGAGGAGAUCGGAAUUCAUGGUGUAGCAGUGAACAU
rnacentral:rRNA from 1 species